UACGUAGGGGGCGAGCGUUGUCCGGAUUUAUUGGGCGUAAAGAGCUCGUAGGCGGUGUGUCGCGUCGGCCGUGAAAACCUGCAGCUUAACUGUGGGCUUGCGGUCGAUACGGGCAUCACUGGAGUUCGGCAGGGGAGACUGGAAUUCCUGGUGUAGCGGUGAAAUGCGCAGAUAUCAGGAGGAACACCGGUGGCGAAGGCGGGUCUCUGGGCCGAUACUGACGCUGAGGAGCGAAAGCGUGGGGAGCAAACAGG
rnacentral:rRNA from 1 species